rnacentral:sRNA from 15 species
AUCUCUAUAAUACUCCGGUUUUUUGGUGAAGUGAGAUUGUGUUUUUUAAAUGUCAUAAAAGACGUUUAUUAGAAACUGGGUUGUUGUCCCGGAGGGGAAUCUAGUUUGAAGGCACAAACGCUUUGGUGUUCAAUUU